rnacentral:sRNA from 1 species
GCCAGGUGUGGAGGCGCACACCUGUAAUCCCAGCAGCUCAGGAGGCUGAGGCAGGAGGAUCAUGAGUCCAAAGCCAGCCUCAGAAAAAGCAAGGCUCUAAGCAACUCAGAGAGACCCUGUCUCUA